UUUUUUAUUUAAAAUUUUAAAAGAAUUUCAAAUUUAAAAAAAGUAAAAAGAAAGGGGAACAAGAAAUAAUAAGGAAUGAGCGAUGAGGUACUAAAUCCUAGAGUACCAAACUUGAGGCCUGAGAAGAACCAAAUUAAUUGCACAGAUUUAGAGAGGUUUAUUUUAUCCAGGAGUGUGUUCAAUAACGGCCACUUUCCUCUACUCAGGGAGCCCAGCUGGGUGAGGUAUACCUAGUCCUUGGUUCUCAUAUCAGACAAGACUGUUGCUUUUACAUGUCCCUACAUCUCUGUCAUGGAAGAACACAGAUGUUAUGGACAGACUGCUGGUACCAGAGACCCAGAACCCCGUCUAUACUUUGGCCCUUGUUGGACACAUCAUUCUGGACCAGGUUACUUGGUUGCUCUGAGCCUUGGUCUUCCUACCUGAAAACUAAAGUGGCUAGCCGGCCAGCAAGCCCCCAGGAGCUACCUGACUCUUUCCUAUAGUGCUGGAGUUCUGGCCCAUACAACCAUGCCUAGCUUUUAUAUGGAUUCUGAGAACCUGUACUCGAGUUCUCAUGCUUCUGAGGAACCACUGUACCAACUGAAUCAUCUCCCCAACCCUGAAGAAGCCAAGUGGAGCAGCUGACUAAUGUGCCGGUUUGAGGACAACCAGAUGGAGGAGCUUCCAUCCAAGCUCCUCACCCUCACUGGGUCUCUCUUGGCUCUUCCCUCACUUGUAAAGAUUAUGGUGUUGAGUGGGUUACCUCUAAUUUCCUUUCCCAUCUGUGACUCUACUGGUGGUCCUAUUUCCAUGUGGUUGGCUGUGGCUGCCGUUAGUGUGUGCAGAGGCCAGCCCAUCCCAGGUCCAAGAGCACUGUGUCUUCUGAGGCACCUGGUAUCCUAAGGGCCUGCCUGCCUGGAGUAGAACCUGCUUUAGAGCAGCAGAGACAGAGAGUUUCACCUCUCCUUGCUCCUGCUUAGGUCAUGACUCUGGGUGUUGACACUGGGGACCUUUCUUCAGCCAUUUGCCAUUUCCAUUAGGCCCUCCAGGUAUAUCUGCAGCCUCCCAGAAUCCCAAAGAUGUACAACAGGGGGCCAAAUUAACUCCAGGCACAUGGAGCUGCUCACUUGCUCCAGACAAGACUGUGACCUCUCAGUCCUUAAUCCUAGCCCUCCUGGCUUUGAAAUCCAGUCCAUCACCUGGCUAUAGCACCCCUCCCCCACAUUAUUGUCCUGAAGCUGCUUCUCUACCUGAAGAGCCCAUUAGGGACCUUUCCUCUGAUAAGUCCAGAGUUCCCUCAUUGGGAGUCCCCAAAACUUCACGUGUGUAUGGUGUAUGUAAAAAUAUAUUGUAUGGGUGCAUAUACAUGUGUGUGUACAUUUGUAAAUGCCAGAAAUAAAUGUCUUCCUCCAUCUGUCUGUUCCUCUCUCUCUCCCCCCCCAUCUUUUCUUUUUUUUUUUAAGAUAAGAUCUCCAUGGCUGCCAUUACAGAGUUGAGAUUAUAGAUGUGCACUGUAGCAUCUGGCUUUUAUGUGGGUGUUGGAAAUCAAACAGGUCCUCACAUUCGAUUGGCAGGUACUUUGUCAACUGAACUAGGUCCCCAGCCCUGGAAUCCCAAAACCUUUCUCAAUAUAGUAUUAAGAUAGCUCGUACAUCUUGACCACCCAGAAUGUAAGUUGCUCAUGGGAAGAAACUAAGUCUGACUCAGAGUUAAAUUCUUGAUGAGGAUGCCUGUCAAACAUUUGUAGAAUUCAGUUCCAAAGGAAACUCUGGGGAAGAAGGUGAAGUCAUUCACCCAGCACAGCAGCUGGGUGUCCUGACUUGCCGGGCUGUGCUCUAGGUCUCCAGAAGUACAUAUGGUAAAAAAGUUACACCGUUGGUUAGAAAACUCCACUCACAGCCCAGCUUCACCUCUCAAUUGAUUCUCUCUCUCUCUCUCUCUCUCUCUCUCUCUCUCUCUCUCUCUCUCGCGUGUGUAUGUGCAUUGUGUUGUGCAUGUUUAUG